rnacentral:rRNA from 1 species
GAUGAACGCUGGCGGCGUGCUUAACACAUGCAAGUCGAACGGAAAGGCCCCUGCUUGCAGGGGUACUCGAGUGGCGAACGGGUGAGUAACACGUGGGUGAUCUGCCCUGCACUUUGGGAUAAGCCUGGGAAACUGGGUCUAAUACCGGAUAGGAGCACAUGUUGGAUGGUGGGGUGGAGAGUGUUUCGGCGUUGGGUGAGGUCGCGGCCGUUCAGCUUGUUGGUGGGGGAUUGGCCGACCAAGGCGUCGUCGGGUAGCCGGCCCGUGAGGGUGUACGGGCACAUUGGGGCAGUGAUACAGCCCAGACUCCUAUGGGGGGCAGCAGUGGGGGAUAUUGCACAAUAGGCGCGAGACUGAGACGGCGAAGCCGCGUGGGGGGUGACGGCCUUCGGGUUGUAAACUCCUUUCGCUAGGGACGAAGAGUUUUUGUGACGGUACCUGGAAAAGAAGCACCGGCUAACUACGUG